CUUGAUCGAGCCGAGCCGGACCGGGCGGUCCUCCGGGCGGUCCUGCCCGUACGUCGCCAGCAGCGCCUGCGCCUC
rnacentral:antisense_RNA from 2 species